CCAGAGAUGGAUUGGUGCCGUUCGGGAACUCUGACACAGGUGCUGCAUGGCUGUCGUCAGCUCGUGUCGUGAGAUGGUUGGGUUAACGUCCCGUAACGAGCGCAACCCUUGUCCUUAGUUACCAGCACGUUAUGGUGGGCACUCUAAGGAGACUGCCGGUGACAAACCGGAGGAAGGUGGGGAUGACGUCAAGUCAUCAUGGCCCUUACGGCCUGGGCUACACACGUGCUACAAUGGUCGGUACAAAGGGUUGCCAAGCCGCGAGGUGGAGCUAAUCCCAUAAAACCGAUCGUAGUCCGGAUCGCAGUCUGCAACUCGACUGCGUGAAGUCGGAAUCGCUAGUAAUCGUGAAUCAGAAUGUCACGGUGAAUACGUUCCCGGGCCUU
rnacentral:rRNA from 1 species